rnacentral:rRNA from 1 species
GUAAGGAAUAUUGGUCAAUGGACGCAAGUCUGAACCAGCCAUGCCGCGUGAAGGAUGAAGGUCCUCUGGAUUGUAAACUUCUUUUAUCUGGGACGAAAACGGGAUUUUUAUCUCAAUUGACGGUACCAGAGGAAUAAGCACCGGCUAACUCCGUGCCAGCAGCCGCGGUAAUACGGAGGGUGCGAGCGUUAUCCGGAUUUACUGGGUUUAAAGGGUGCUUAGGUGGGCUUAUAAGUCAGUGGUGAAAUCUCCGAGCUUAACUUGGAAACUGCCGUUGAUACUAUAGGUCUUGAAUUAUCUGGAGGUAAGCGGAAUAUGUCAUGUAGCGGUGAAAUGCUUAGAUAUGACAUAGAACACCAAUUGCGAAGGCAGCUUACUACAUAUAUAUUGACGCUGAGGCACGAAAGCGUGGGGAUCAAACA